GCCACUGAGAGUGAAAGAAAAUUCCCCCUUUGCACAAUGCCUUUCACUUAAAUAGCAUUUGGAUUUCUUAAAAUCCACAAAGUUUAUAUUAGAGCGUCAUCCAUUAAUGCUUUGGCUAGGAGGGGGUCUAUCGCCCUGGUUGGAGUGCAGCAGUGUAAUCAUAGCUCACUGCUGCCAUGAACUUCUGGGCUCAAGCGAUCCUCCCACCUCAGCCUCCCUGUGUGCUGGGAUUAAAAGUGUGAGCCACCGUGCCUCAUCGUAAGGGUCUUAAAAGAAACCCUAUUUCAUACUUUCUUGAUGCACUUGAUAUGGAUUAUAUAAAUCUAUGGACAAAAAUGACAUCAGUACAAUGGAAUAUUGGAGUUUUCUACCAUAAUCUCUGCAUAGUGCACUGAUUUUGACAAUCACCUAUGGAUGAAAAUACAUUUGCCAGAGUCUAGGAGUUAAAUGGAAAAGUUAACAGCACACCGUUGGAGAAAAAUAUCUGGGAGUAGAUGCAUUCAAGGGAGUAAGAAGAACAAUUACCUGCAUCACCUCACCCCCAGGGUCCACUUCUUAGUGCCAAGAUAGACUCCCUUCAGCAGGCAAUUUCUCCCAUGGGGAAAAGGAGAGUAUAAUGAGUGAGUAUCCAGCUUUUCCAGCUGUGUGAGGCACAUCCCAAGAAGCCCAUCUUUCUUUCACUCAACUCAGAAUAUUGAGGGUAUUAGCAUGGCUAAGUGGCUGGGACAGGGCAGUAGCAGGAAAGAAAGGAGAGGACUCACAGCAACCAGGACUUGAAACUCAGUACAGGGUACAUAUCCUUUGAAGCAUUUCACAGAGCCCAUCAGGAGGCCCACCCAUGAACCACUUGGGACACCAUAUCUGUAGCAUCUCCCUGCAACUGGCCCAUAGGAGCCCCCGAUGUUUUGUGCAUAUUCCCCUUCCCUUUCUCCUAUAGUCAGUUGCCUGCACAUGCACUCCAGAUGGUGAGUGUGAGCAUUUACCUACAGCUUUUGAGUACAUGCAGUCAGCAGGCUCAACUUUGAAGGAUUGGGAGGAAUACAAAAUUGAGCAUUUCAGGGCACUGUCCUAGAGGAAACAAACAGAAAGCUUUCAGGACCCAGUUUGGUUUUGUGGAUUUAAGAGAAGACACACAAUCAUCAGAAUUUCUUCUCCACCCAUCCAAGAAGUGUGGAUUGGGUGAAUCCAUAGAAAAGAUCUGAGAGAGCCUCAGAUUCCCUAUAGGCUCACUGUUGAAGAUAUUUCUCUCAAAUCCAGUCAGUAAAGACUAGAGAAAGUGACUCUUUCUUCAAAUGUGAAGACAGCAGUGCAAGACUUUGAGGAACAUGAAAAAUCAAGGACACCUAGUACCACCAAAGGAACAUAAUUUUCUGGUACCCAACCACAAAGAAAUGGAGAUACACAAAUUGUCUGACAAAGAAUUCACAACAAUUGUUUUAAGGAAGUCAGUAAGCUACAAGAGAACACAGAGAACUUAAUGAUAUUAAGAAAGCGACACAUGAACAAAAUAAGAUGUUCAACAAAAAGAUAGAAAUUAUUAAAAACAACCAUGAUUUUCGAGCUGAGAAUACAAUGAAUGAAAUGGAAAACACAAUAGAGUUUCAAUAGCAGACUUGAUCAAGCAGAAGAAAGGGUCUGUCAACUCAAAUACUAGUCAUUUGAAAUUAUUCAGUAAAAGAAAUAAAAAGGAAUGAAAAAUGCUUAUGCGAUUGAUGCAACACCAUGAAGAGUAGUCAUAUAUGCACUAUGGGAGUCUCAGAAAAAGAAAGAGAUAAAGGGGAAGAAAACUAACUUAAAGAACUAGAUCAGUCUCUCCUUAUCUGUAGUUUUGCUUUCCUUGGUUUCAGGUACAGUACAAUGAUAUGUUUUAAGAGACAGACAAUGAAAGAGAACAUGCAAAUAUUGACAUAAUUUUUAUUACAGUAUAUUGUCAUAGUUUUUCUAUUUUGUUAUUAGUUGUUAUUCUCUUACUGUGCCUAAUUUAUACAUUAAACUUUAUCAUA
rnacentral:lncRNA from 1 species